rnacentral:rRNA from 1 species
UACGGGGGGGGCAAGCGUUGUUCGGAAUUACUGGGCGUAAAGGGCUCGUAGGUGGCCUGCUAAGUCGGACGUGAAAUCCCUCGGCUCAACCGGGGAACUGCGUCCGAUACUGGUGGGCUCGAGUGCAGGAGAGGAACGCGGAAUUCCAGGUGUAGCGGUGAAAUGCGUAGAUAUCUGGAGGAACACCGGUGGCGAAGGCGGCGUUCUGGACUGCAACUGACACUGAGGAACGAAAGCCAGGGGAGCAAACGGG